UUGCCUGUUUCUUCAUGAUCCAUGUGUGUAUGCAUCUGGAGGGGUAAAUGCCUCUUCCAGUCUUUACAGACUGUUUUCAGAAGGUAAAGGCCUUCUCUUGCUGGGUUUUUGGGUUGAUGGAAUGUCCCCCAGACUGCAGUAGAGUGGUGCUGGAAUUUAAUCACAGAGCUGCUUCAGUAUCUGCAAUCUGGUCUUAGGUGGACAGGCCUGCUACUGGAGGCAUGGAAAGCAUCCUGGGAAUUCAAUAUUUUCUCCAAACUUUCUGAAGAUACUGGUGACAAGGGUGAAGACUGACAAUGUGAAUAUGAGAAGUAAGAUCAAGGCAAGAGCUAUGACAAACCCACCGUCAAUAUUAUACUGAACGAGCAAAAGCUGGGAGCAUUCCCCUUAAGACCUGGAACAAGACAAGGAUGCUGACAAUCACUGCUCCUAUUCAACAUGGUAUUGGAAGUCCUAGCCAAAGCAAUCAGGAAAGAAAAAGCAAUAAAAGUCUUCCAAACAGGAAAAGAAGAAGUCAAAUUAUUUCUCUUAAAACUGUUGAUAUGAUUCUAUAUCUAAAAAACCCUAUGGACUCCACCAAAGGGCUUCUGGAGCUGAUAAAUGAUUUCAAUAAAGUUUCAGGAUUCAAAAUCAAUGUACAAAAAUCAGUAGCAUUUUAUAUACCAAUAAUGUUCUAGCCGAGAGCCAAAUCAGGAGUGCAAUCUUUUACAAUAGCCAUACCAAAAAAAAGAAAAAAACUUUGGAAUACAUCUAACCAAAAAAGUGAAAUAUCUACAAGGAGAACUACUAAACACUGCUAAAAUAAUUUUCUAUUAAAAAAUAAGUAGAUUGUUAAGAUACUGGAUGUUUAACACCUCUAAUUCCAAGAAACUCAAAGCAAAAAAAAAAAAUCAUUCAGAAAAUAAUCUGCUAAUAUCUCCAUGAGGAAGUAAGAUACAUAACCUAUGCAUAAGCUCAAUAAGUUAAAGGUUAGUUUUAAAAUAUAUCAAAAUCUGUAUUAAUACUGUAGAGAUUGCUUCACUUAGCUACUAACUCAUUUGUUCCUUUGUUUUAAAUGUGUGAUAGAAAAGUUUUGGGAUGUCUCUGGAAUUUUGAUUGUAUUUCCUAUGCCAAAAAGUCAACUUUCAGGGCAUUAAUGAAUAGCUCAUGCGUAAGUCUUAAUUGUUAUAAUAAAAACAUUUUUCUUCCCUUUAGGUUUUAUCCAAGGUCUUGUAUGUUUUAUGGUUAUAAGCAAAAACAGAUUGGCAGAGGUCAGUUUCCCUGCCAACCUUAAAGAUAGAUGCAAAUUGCUUGAGGAGCAUUAUUUUAAGCCAAGCUUGGCUUGUUUAAUCAAGUUCAUAGUAAAGAGAUGGUAACUAGCUGGAAAACAGCCAACACACGAGUCAAAUUAAAUUAUUCAUGUUGUCCCUUCCACACUGCUUUUAUAAUUAGAGUAGCAGCAUGACACUGAGGGAAAUGCAUGAGCUUUGAAUUUAGAAAUGUAGGCGCUUGAAAGUAUGCAAAUAAGCCUUUAUGAGCCUCAAUGUUUUCAACUGUAAAAUGGGGAGAUGUGUACCUUUUUUGUGGCUUGUUUUAAAUGGAUGAAAUGAGAUAAUGUACUUAUAGUGCUUGGCAUUAAAUAUGCUUGAAAAUUAGUAGUGAACAUUAUUACCUUUUAAUCUAGACCAUUCAAGAUAAAGCAAAGCUUGGUGUUUGAUUGUAUAUCUCUGCCUGUCCUUAUAAUCCUGGUGGUUAAGCAUCUUCAUAAAAUACUGUCUCUAAAAUGUAAGCAAUAAAAUUUGGAUUUAUUUUAUGUAGGAUUCUUUAAGGUAGUCAAGCAUGAAAGUGAAAAGUUCUUCGAUGGCCUUUUUCCAUUUAAUUCCUCAGAUGUAGAAAACCAAAAAGAUUCACAACUAUAUUAUGUUAAUGAUCAUAGUUCCAAAAUGUCCUAGAACUACAAUAAAUAACCUAUGAUGUCCAUAAUCAUUUUGUGACUCACUGUUCAUAACCAAAGGACUUCCCUGACAUUUAUAUACUCUGUUAAACCACCCAUAUCUGUGCCAAAAA
rnacentral:lncRNA from 10 species